AGAAACCAACAGGGAUGUGCUGAUGGAGAAUGGCCGUCAGGUGUCUGCGAGCAGGUGCCCUCGGGCGAGCUGGAGACUGCGAAGGGAAGUGAAUUCAGCUGACUGCAGGAAGGAAAGGGGCGAGGACGGGCGAGGAGUGGGAGACGCAGUUGGCUGCCUGAGCACGAAGGUUGUCCCCCCUCACGUUCCUGCCACUGAUUUUAAGUAAUCAAUACACCCAACAUGGGGCUCGAACUUACAACCCGGAGAUCAAGCGUUAUGCUCCACGGACUGAGCCAGCCAGGCGCCGAGAUCUUUCUUUUUUCUUAAGGUAAGCGUUUAUCGCUAUAAACACUCCUCUUACAAUGGUUUUGCUGAAUUCUGUACGUUUAGUGUGUUGUGUUUCCACUUAGGCUUGUCUCGAAAUAUUUCUUGGUUCCCCUUUGGU